CUACGGAGGGUGCAAGCGUUACUCGGAAUCACUGGGCGUAAAGCGCGCGCAGGCGGCUAUUUAAGUUGGAGGUGAAAGCUUACGGCUCAACCGUAGAACUGCAUCCAAAACUAUUUAGCUAGAGUGUGGGAGAGGAAGAUGGAAUUAGUUGUGUAGGGGUAAAAUCCGUAGAGAUAACUAGGAAUACCAAAAGCGAAGGCAAUCUUCUGGAACACUACUGACGCUGAGGCGCGAAAGCGUGGGGAGCAAACGGGAUUAGAAACCCUAGUAGUCC
rnacentral:rRNA from 1 species